CCCCUCUCAGGAUCACUCCUGGAGAGUUUCCAAUACUCUACCAAUCUCGACUACGGGAGGGAGAGUCAAGCAGAGGCAUUUGCAUUCCAUUCCUAGCUUGGGCAGUGGCUAGCGAAUGGAAGGCAGUCUGUUACAAGU